GGCAUUUUUGUCUUGUUCCUGAUCUUAGAGGAAAAGCUUUUGGUCUUUCACCAUUGAGUAUGUUGUCAACUGUGGGCUUUUCAUAAAAGGCCUGAUGAUGUUAAGUUUAGUUCGCAGACCCAGCCAUUGGAGACCCAGGAGAGCAGAAGGAAAGUCUUCCCUCCCCUAUGAUUUCCAGCAACGGGGAUGAGAUCUCAUUGGCUGGAACAUUCUGUCCACUCUGGAGGCAGCAAAAGCCAACCACUCAACUUUUCAUAUGUGAAACUUCGGACAAAGCUUCAGAUGGGGGAAAUUUAGGAGAUCAAAAUAUGCCAUAUUUGCAUGAGGACUGUUUUGAGGUGAAGACAUUCGAGAAUCAACAAAUGCAGAGGCCUUCUCUGAACUUCCUAUACCUGUCUAAAAUUAGAUCCUCUUCAAAAAAAAUGGAGUUGUCAUAAAUUGCCUCUCUGGGAAUUUCAUCAACCAGGGAAGAUUGACUCUUAUCCCAUGAGAGGAGACUAGAAGUUGGCACAAAAUCUAGACAAACAUUGACACAAACUCUCAUUUCUCCCAUCUUUUCUCCUAAGGGCCCAUUUAUCUUCUGUAAAAAUCACUUUCUCUCCCAUAUGUGACCUCUCUUCCCUUCCCUUUCCCCUAUUAAGAUGGUAUGUAAACUCUCAGAUUUCACUGUUUUGGGGGGGGGGGGUACUCACUAUUUUUUUUGUAUGAUACCCCUGUGCACAUAAAAUUGAAAAUUAAUAAAUCUGUAUGA